UGUCGAUCAACACCCAGUUGGUGU
rnacentral:snRNA from 1 species